ensembl:lncRNA
UGCAGACAUUAUUUUUACCAAAUUGGCUUAUCAACAUUAGACUGCAAUUUAGUUUAGGUAAAGACACUGCAAACAACGUCCGGAGGGCAUGUUUGAUUGAAACAGCAGUUCAGAAUACUUUGAUGAUGUAUUCACUCUGUAGCCUACAGUAUAGAAAUGUCACACUGUAAACCAGAGCUAUAUCCGCUAUAGACAAAAAGCUUUAUUUGUGUUUUUCCCAUUUUUCCCCAUAGCUUUCCUUUGCCAAAACAAGAACAUUUCAUAUGAAAUCCAAACAUGUUUUAUCCACAUUAAAACCAACUAAAAAUAAAUUGAUCUGAUAACCACACCAUGUUCUUCACCUUAAAAAAAAGCAUUACAGGACUACAAGUACCAGAAUGCAUUGUGAUACAAGCAGGAAAACAACAACAACAAUAGCAAACGGCUGAUUCUCUGUUUGGCUGCAGAGACUGGUACCCUCGUCGCUCUAAUAUUUCAAGGGUCUACAAUAUAAUUUCAUUUCACAUAUGAAUAACUUCUGCUGCCUCUUUGAAAAGUAAAGUAAGAAAUAACAUGGAAUAAAGUCAAAUAUAAAAGUUGUAUUUAGCUCACUUUUCUCUGAAAUGUAGUUUAUUUCUGCGUUCAUUCGGAUGUUCUCGGCCAGCUCUCUGUAAAUGGUCGGUCAUGACCGGGGAGAGGAGUGUUCUAUCACAAAGCCACAACAUUACUCUCAUACACUUCAGUCCCCCAGUCUUUUUAGUGAAACGGAAAAGUCCAUUUUGAAAAGCGGAAGUGCAUCUGAGAUUCCAAACUCCAAACUGGAGGUCUGGCUCCCUUUCCGUCCCCUUUAAGUGUACAUGGAGGUCUGGCUCCCUUUCCGUCCCCUUUAAGUGUACAUGGAGGUCUGGCUCCCUUUCCGUCCCCUUUAAGUGUACAUGGAGGUCUGGCUCCCUUUCCGUCCCCUUUAAGUGUACAUGGAGGUCUGGCUCCCUUUCCAUCCACUUUAAGUGUACAUGGAGGUCUGGCUCCCUUUCCAUCACCUUUAAGUGUACAUGGAGGUCUGGCUCCCUUAGUGUUGCACAAUACAUGGGGAUCUCACAUUGUCCAUUCCCCUCGUGAUGACAGACCCUCAGUCUCCACAAUGACCCAGCGGUCAACAGCCUUAGUACUGGGACUCAGACAAGAGGACCUGACAUAGCAAUGGGCAUGUGUCAUACAGCGAAAACCUCACAUUUCAGAGCAUGAGAGACAGAGAGAGAGAGGGGGCAGAGAAUGAGACAGAGAGAGAGGGUAGAGCGAAUGAGAGAGAGUGAGAUAGAAGGGGUUAGAGAGAAUGAGAGAAAGAGAGGGAGAGAGAUGAGGGUAGAGAAAGAGAGAGAGAGAGAGAACGAGAGAGGGAGAGAGAGAAAGAGAAGAGGGGUAGAGAGAGAGAGAGAGAGAGAGAGAGAGAGAAGAGGGAGGGGUAGAGAAAGAGAUGAGGGGUAAAGAGAGAGAGAGGGGUAGAGAGAGAGAAAGAGAGAGAUGAGGGGUAGAGAGAAGGGGGGUAGAGUGAGAGAGAAAAUGGGUAGAGAGAAAGAGAGAGGAGGGGUAGAGAGGGGUAGAGAGAGAGAGGUAGAGAGAGAGAGAGGGGUAGAGAGAGAGAGAAGAUGGGUAGAGAGAGAAAGAGAGAGGAGGGGUAGAGAGGGGUAGAGAGGGGUAGAGAGAGGGGUAGAGAGAGAGAAAGAGAGAGAGAGAGAGGGGUAGAGAGAGAGAGGGGUAGAGAGAGAGUGAGAGAAGAGGGGUAGAGAGCGAGAGGGGUAGAGAGAGAGAGGUAGAGAGCGAGAGGGGUAGAGAGAGAGAAAGAGAGAGAGAAGAGGGGUAGAGAGAGAGAGAAGAUGGGUUGAGAGAGAAAGAGAGAGGAGGGGUAAAGAGAUGAGGGGGAGUAGAGAGAGAGAAGAGGGGUAAAGUACCGCAGCAUGAGAUGGAGAGACUCAUAUUGAAUUCAGCACCAGUGGAAAAAGGCAAUUUUUGAAAAGGUUCAUUUGUUUGUUUUUACAUAACAUUUUUUUUGUAUGACAAAAAGAUCCUCUUUUUAAAAAAUCUACACUGCCAUGUCUGUGAUGGGACCCCCAUAGCAUGUUUCAGAGGGUCUACACAGAGGUCUAUGGCUGCUUACGACCUUGUUGGAGAGCCACGACAGCGCCGUCCCACCCCCCUGUUCUCCCGGUAUAAAAGUUAAACAAGUGUCUUUGGCAGAUUUACAGAAAAGGUCCUCAUCUACUCUGGGACGCUACUGCUAGAAAUUACAAAGAUGUUAGAAACUGGUCAGAGACACACAAGAAGAGAGAGAGAGAGAGAGAGAGAGAGACUGGUCAGUCAGACACACAAGAGAGAGAGAGAGAGAGAGAGAGAGAGACUGGUCAGAGACACACAAGAAGAGAGAGAGAGAGAGAGAGAGAGAGACUGGUCAGAGACACACAAGAAGAGAGAGAGAGAGAGACUGGUCAGAGACACACAAGAAGAGAGAGAGAGAGAGAGAGAGAGACUGGUCAGAGACACACAAGAAGAGAGAGAGAGAGAGACUGGUCAGAGACACACAAGAAGAGAGAGAGAGAGAGAGAGAGACUCAGGUCAGAGAC